UACGUAGGGGGCAAGCGUUGUCCGGAUUCAUUGGGCGUAAAGAGCUCGUAGGCGGCUUGGCAAGUCGGGUGUGAAAACUUCAGGCUCAACCUGGAGCGGCCACUCGAUACUGCCAUGGCUAGAGUCCGGUAGGGGACCACGGAAUUCCUGGUGUAGCGGUGAAAUGCGCAGAUAUCAGGAAGAACACCGAUGGCGAAGGCAGCCUUCUGGGCCAACACUGACGCUCAUGCACGAAAGCGUGGGGAGCAAACAGG
rnacentral:rRNA from 1 species